GGGUCGUUAGCUCAGCUGGUAGAGCAUCGGACUUUUAAUCCGCUGGUCGCAGGUUCGAAUCCUGCACGACCCACCA
rnacentral:tRNA from 1 species